UUCUUUAAGCUAUUAUUUAAAGUAAAACCUGCUCAAUGACAACCAUAAAUAGCCGCAGAAUACCUGUGCUAAGGUAGCAUAAUCACUUGCUUUUUAAAUAAAAGAUAGAAUGAAAGGUUAAACGACUAAGUAUUUUCCCAUAUUAACUAACGAAACUACCCAUAAUGUAAAAACCCAUUUAUACUACAUAGAAAGACGACAAGACCCUGACAAACUUAUACAUUUAGUUGGGGCAACACAAUAAAAAAACCUUAUUAAUAAACAAAACUAACCUUACUAUAAAUAACUUAGUUACUGCAGGGAUAACAGCGCUAUUUCUUUCUAAAGCUCUUAUUUAAAAAGAAGUUUACGACCUCGAUGUUGAAUUAAUUUUCCUAGCAGGAGCACCCUCUACGCUAGUUAGCCUGUUCGUCUAAUAAUAAAUU
rnacentral:rRNA from 1 species